rnacentral:rRNA from 1 species
CCUACGGGCGGCAGCAGUAGGGAAUCUUCCACAAUGGGCGAAAGCCUGAUGGAGCAACGCCGCGUGGGUGAAGAAGGUCUUCGGAUCGUAAAACUCUGUUGUUAGAGAAGAAAGUGCGUGAGAGUAACUGUUCACGUUUCGACGGUAUCUAACCAGAAAGCCACGGCUAACUACGUGCCAGCAGCCGCGGUAAUACGUAGGUGGCAAGAGUUAUCCGGAUUUAUUUGGCGUAAAGGGAACGCAGGCGGUCUUUUAAGUCUGAUGUGAAAGCCUUCGGCUUAACCGGAGUAGUGCAUUGGAAACUGGGAGACUUGAGUGCAGAAGAGGAGAGUGGAACUCCAUGUGUAGCGGUGAAAUGCGUAGAUAUAUGGAAGAACACCAGUGGCGAAAGCGGCUCUCUGGUCUGUAACUGACGCUGAGGUUCGAAAGCGUGGGUAGCAAACAGGAUUAGAUACCCCUGUAGUC